GUGCAGCAGGCGAGAAACUUUACAAUGUGCGAAAGCACGAUAAGGAACUCUGAGUGCCUCCUAAGGAGGCUGUUCAGGUGUCUAAAAGCACCUGGAGUAAGGGCUGGGUAAGACCGGUGCCAGCCGCCGCGGUAACACCGGCAGCCCAGGUGGUAGCCACUUUUAUUGGGUCUAAAGCGUCCGUAGCCGGUUGAGUAAGUUCCUUGGGAAAUUUGGCUGCUCAACAGUCAAGCUUCCAGGGAAUACUGCUCGACUUGGGACUGGGAGAGGUCAGAGGUACUCCAGGGGUAGGGUGAAAUCCAUUAAUCCCUGGGGGACCACCGGUAGCGAAGGCGUCUGACCAGACCAGGUCCGACGGUGAGGGACGAAGGCUAGGGUCGCGAACCGGAUUA
rnacentral:rRNA from 1 species